rnacentral:lncRNA from 1 species
CUAAUUAUUUAAACAACAGAACUAAUGACUACCGUGUUGCUUUAUUUUCAAAUAAAUGUAUAUUAAAUAUUUAUAAAAUCACACUGGCAUAACUGUUCUUUAUAAUAUUCCAAUAAAGAAAUAAACCUACCUCGAGUAGGUUGGGGUCUCCUUUCGUUUCCGGUAAAUCUUGAGAUACCAGGAAAGACUCGCUUUUCCCACAGCUUUCUCCGCUGAGGAGCGUGUCGGCAUAGUUGGGCUGCGGGAAGAUCACGUGACUCUCCCGGGAGUCCGCCCUGAGGGAGACCUCCUGGGAAUAGGUCUGCAGGAAAGUGCGCACCCCAUCCACGCCCACAAAGUGCGUGGCGGGCACGCCAGCCAAUCCAACCCCCGCAGCCUGGAGCAGACGGGACGAGUGCCAGCGCCUCAGCCUGAGUCCCAGCAGCACGAUCACAAAGGCCAGAAAGAUGCAGGAGACUGCAGCCACCGCCACCACCAGGUACAGCGUGAGGUCAGAAUCGUCUGGGUCGGCGGCUGUCCUGAUGCUGCCCAGAUCGGCCAGGACGUCUGGGAUGUUGUCAGCUACGGCCACGGUGAGCGUGACGGUGGCCGAGAGAGGGGGCUGGCCGUGGUCUUGCACAGCCACCACCAGGCUUUGCUUGAGCGCAUCUCUGUCCAGCAGGGCCCGUGCAGUGCGCACCUCGCCCGUGUGCAGCCCCACCGUGAAGAGCCCUGGUUCGCUGGCCUUGAGUAGACGGUAGGACAGCCAGGCGUUCUGGCCAGAGUCUCUGUCCACCGCCACCACCUUGGUCACCAGGUAUCCGGGCUCUGCGGAUCGGGGCGCCAGCUCCACGCCUGUGGAACCAUCAGUAGGGAGAGCGGGAUACAGGAUUUCUGGAGCAUUGUCGUUCUGGUCCAGCACGAAUAUGCUCAGUGACACAUUGCUGCUGAGGGGUGGGUUCCCACUGUCACUGGCUGUCACCAAUAGCUGCAGGUCUCUAACCUGCUCGUAGUCAAAGGAACGGAGAGCAUACAGGACACCGGUGUCGGAAUUGAUGGAGACGUAAGUGGAUAGAGGCGCCCCCUGGAUGGUAUCCUCAGUCAGUGCGAAAGUGAUGUGGGCGUUCUGGAUGCUGUCGGGAUCCUGGGCGGUCACACAGAAGAUGGAAGCUCCCCUGGGGUUGUUUUCCGGAAUGUAGGCUGAAUAGGAGGCCUGACUGAAAGCAGGUGGGUUGUCAUUGAUGUCUGCAACAUGCAGAGUGAUAUGAAUGUUCGUAGACAGUGGGGGGCUUCCUCCAUCUGUGGCUCUGAGAGUGAUGUUAUAUUCAGACACCUGUUCACGAUCCAGAGAUCUGGCUGUCACUAAGCGGUAAUACUGGUCUAUUGAUUUUUCUAAAUUAAAUGGCACAUUUCCCAGGACAAAAACUGUGACUUGUCCAUUUUGCCCAGAAUCUCGGUCAUGCACAUUGAUAAGGGCAAUUUCUCUUCCAGCAGUAGCCUCUUCUGGGACUGAUUCAGUAAGAGAAGUGAUUGUUACUUCUGGGGCAUUGUCAUUCACAUCCAGAACUGUGACUAAAAUCUUAGCUCUUGAAAGGAGACCAGGUCCAUCUUGUGCUUCAAUUUUAAUUUCAUAGAACAUAGCAUCCUCAUAAUCUAGACUUUUUAAUAUUGAUAUAUCUCCAGUCACUGAAUUGAGAUAAAAAAUCUCAGCGACUUUCCCAGGCAUUUUAUCUAGAAUAUAGGACACUUGAGCAUUGAAUCCUUCAUCAGGGUCAGUGGCAUUCACUGUGAGCAGUGUGGUACCCACUGGCAAGUUCUCUUGAAUACUUAAUUGAUACUCAGAUUGAGUAAAUACUGGUGGGUUGUCAUUUGCAUCCAAAACUAUCACUUGGAUGUACAAGUUGCCAGAGUGGACAGGAUUCCCACCAUCAGAAGCAAUGAGGACAAGCUGAUGAACUUUCUUUUGUUCACGGUCCAGAGCCCUCUCCAACACCAGCUCUGGGUACUUUGUCCCAUCAGAGACAUGCUUCACAGUCAGAGAAAAGUAGUCAUUGGGGUGGAGAUGGUAGUUCUGAAGGGAGUUCAUGCCCACAUCUGGGUCAAAUGCAGUCUUAAGUGGAAAUCGAGUUCCAGAAGCCGCUAGUUCGCCAAUUUUUAUUUCCAAUUUCUCUGUUAGAAAAUCAGGAGCAUUAUCAUUAAUGUCUUUAAUUUCUAUUUCUACUUCAAAAAUUUUCAAUUUGUCUUCUACAAGGACGUUAAAUUUUACAAGACACAGCGCACUCUGAGCGCAGAGCUCCUCCCGGUCUAUCCUGCUUGCGGUGACCAAGCUGCCGCUUCGCGGGUUCAGAGCAAAGAGCUGCGUCCUACCUCUAGAGAUGAUGCGGACUCCACGCUCCGCCAGCUCCCAGGGCUCCAAUCCCAGGUUCUUGGAGAUGUUGCCCACAAAGGAACCUUUGUCCAUUUCCUCUUGCACUGAGUAGUGGAUCUGCCCAGAUCCAGUCUUGCAUAGCGUCCACAGAAGCACAAACAGCAGGGCCAAUCCUCUGCAGUGUCUGAAUCUCAGGUAUUUAGUCAUUUCUUCUUUGGUGAAUUAUUUUCUGUGAAUUCCGUUCCAACUACCCACGACGGACUCAAAUCAUAUUUGUUUUCAAGGAACUAAGCUUUUAAUGGUCCUAUUUUAUGGGUCACAGAGCUGGUUGACUAACAGGAUGAGCUUUGUAGCAGCUCGGAUCUUCUGGGGUCUGAUUGACUGGUUCUUUGCUUUUUAGGAACAAGGAAAUGGUGGACAAGCUCGCCAGCCCCGUUUUCCUCCUUGAGUGGUCAGCAGCGACACUCAGAGGCCUAAUGGUUUACUGCACCCUUUCAGAUAAACCCAAGUUAGUGAUUUUUAAGUUUCCCAACACCCGAAAUCUUCUGUAUCAGAGGUAAUGGGAUUGGUGUCUAUUUCACACAGUUCAAUUGUUAUAUGUUAAAGUAUGAUAUAUGUUAAAGUAUGUUCCUUAGGAAGCCAUGCUCUAACCUUAAGACCACUAAUAUUGCUUCAAACAUGCUGGAGUUACUGUUUUGAAAUGUUCAAAGUUUAAAAACCACACAGAAAUAUCAGCUUUAUUUAUAGGUUAUACUCAUUAAAGUUUGUCCUUGAUAGCCUGACAUCUUAGUUUCAAUAUCUGUAAUUGAACCCAUUCAUUAAACAUAAUUGGGUGUUAGACAAUAUGUGAGGAUUCAAGGUAAAUGAUAUGAACAUAACCACUUCCUCCCCAAAGCUAGGUAGAUAUAAAAUCAAACAAGGAAUUCCAGUGCACUGAGAUAAUUACCAUGAUGGAAGAAACCAAAGGCAAUGGGAGGGCCUCCAACCCGGCCCUGGAGGUUAGCAAAGGCUUUCCCAAGAAACAUGAGAAAAGUGGAUCAGGGAAAAGGCCUGGAUAUGAGAGACAACAGUAUGGCAAUUUCUAGAUGUGAGAGAGAAAUCGCACAACUUCAGAGUACUGGAAGUAGUUCACUUUGUCUAAAUCUAGAGUAAAGGUGGUUUUUAAACACCAAAACUGAGGGGUGCCUGGGUGGCGCAGUCGGUUAAGCGUCCGACUUCAGCUCAGGUCACAAUCUCACGGUCCGUGAGUUUGAGCCCCGCGUUGGGCUCUGGGCUGAUGGCUCAGAGCCUGGAGCCUGUUUCCGAUUCUGUGUCUCCCUCUCUCUCUGCCCCUCCCCUGUUCAUGCUCUGUCUCUCUCUGUCUCAAAAAUAAAUAAGUGUUAAAAAAAAAUUUAAACACCAAAACUGAAACUAGUAGAAAUAAACUUUUGUUUUAUGUUCCAGAAACCUUUUCUCUAUAUUUGUUUUCCUCUCCAAACACAGAAAUAGAAAUAUAUUUGUCAUUUCAAUUAUGCAGUGUUAUAAACUUAUCCAUAAGGCAUUUAUUCUUGUGAAAAGAUACUAUACACACUAAAAGAAACUUUGUCUUUAAUUUUCCUCAGUUUAAACUUUAUUACUUAGAAGUAAAGAUGUUAUGAUGUAUUAUUCCACAGUGAGUUCCAGUUUUAGCUCAUAGAGAAUUAUGUAAUAGUAAUAAACACAAGAGACUGCAUUGACUCAGAUCAACUCUCCUCAAAUGCCCUAAAAUAUAAUAAAAAAUCACAGCACCUUGAAAGAUGAUAAUACCAUUAAAUACAAUACUCAGUAUAUGAUUGCUUCCAAAUCACAAUUUAAAGUGAUCCCAGUUACAUAGAAUAUUAGUGUAUUUUUUUGUCCUUCAACAUUAAAAACAUAACUGAAACACUAAAAGCCAACAUAGAAAGAGGAAUGAGGAAGGAACACAGUGGUUGUGAGGGAGACUGAAGUUAGGUGAGGGAUUGGAAAUAUUUUUAACAGUUGCUCUGAGAAGGAAUCUCUGAGAAGAGAGAUGUAUAAGAAGGAUCUUUAAGGGCUAUUAUUUGAUAUAGCCUCUGAAUCCCUUGAGGACAUAUUAUUUUUAAAGAUAAAAAGUAAAUAUGGUUUCCAGAUAUGAGAAAAUAAAAAUAUCAAAGAGAAAUGUGUUUACUAUUGCACUACCCAUUUAUUAUAGAGCAAACAAGAAUUCAAUCACUUCAUCAACCAACACAGAGCUACUUUAAAUACUUUUUUUAAACAUUUAUUCAUUUUUGAGAGACAGAGGGUGAGUUGGGGAGGGGCAGAGAGAGAGGGAGACAGAAUCUGAAGCAGGUUCCAGGCUUUGAGCUGUCAGCACAGAGCCCAUUGCAGGGCUGGAACCUAUGAACUGUGAGAUCAUGGCCUGAGCCAAAGUCAGACACUUAACUGACUGAGCUACCCAGGCGCCCCAACACAGAGCUACUUUAAAAGUCAGUGGGAUUUUUAAUUACGUGGAGAUACCAUGACAUACUUUCCUAAGACACAGUGAACAUAUAUAUUUCUAAAUUUCCAUAUUUUAAAUAGGGAAGGUCAUAUGAAUCAAAUAAAAUGAAGAACCUCACUGUCAAACUGAAGUAAAAAUAUUACAACUGAGUGAAGGCAUUAGACAACUAAAGUGUUUCAUUAUUCAUAGGUUAAAAUAUAAAACAAAACCCUUGAAUUUUAAAGCACUUGAGUAAACAUAAAAUUCAGACUUCCUUUUUUUUUUUUAAAUAAACUCUACCACCGUAUGGAGCUCAAACUCCCCACCCCAAGAUCAAGAGUAGCAUGCUUUGCCGACUGAGCCAGCCAGCCGCCCCUCAAUCUUCAUAUUUUUAAUAGAGAAAGAAUUAUUGAUCCAGGUAGACAAGAAGAUUUGCCCAGGGAAGAGAAAGAAAGUAUGAGAAACCAGAUACACCAUUUCCUAAUGCAAUGCUCUUUGAUAACCUAAAUAUAAUAUUCACCCAAUACUAACUCCUGAUUUAAAUUCAUGAUACAAUGAUUCUAGCCUCCUCUUCCCCCGUAGAAGGUGUAAACACUUAGAACUACUGAGAAAUAAUUCACCAGGACUCAUGUCCUUAAAAGGGAUAUAUUCACAAGUAAAUAUGCAAAACAGAAAACAUGUGGUAAACAAUGGAGGCAGCGGAGUAAAUAAACAUAUCUAUUUAUUUUAGCAAUGCCUCAUAAGUAUACCGUGAAGGGAGUUUACCUUGGAUGUUUCUUCUCCUUUGUCUUCAAGUAAAGACUGAGGUGAUGAUAGAAAAUCCUUUUUCUCACAGCUCUCCUGGCUGAGGAGCAUGUCGGCAUAGUUGGGCUGGGGGAAGAUCACGUGACUCUCCCCGGAGUCCGCGGUGAGGGAGACCUCGUGGGAAUAGGUCUGCAGGAAAGCCCGCACCCCGUCCACGCCCACAAAGUGAGAGGCGGGCACGCCCACCAGCCCGCCUCCUGAAGCCUGGAGCAGACGGGAUGAGUGCCAGCGCCUCAACCUGAGUCCCAGCAGUACGAUGACAAAGGCGAGGAAGACGCAGGAGACAGCAGCCACCGCCACUACCAGGUACAGCGUGAGGUCAGAAUCAUUUGGGUCGGCGGGGGUCCUGGUGCUGCCCAGAUCGGCCAGGACGUCUGGGAUGUUGUCAGCUACCGCCACGGUGAGCGUGACGGUGGCCGAGAGAGGGGGCUGGCCAUGGUCCUGCACCACCACCACCAGGCUCUGCUUGAGCGCAUCUCUGUCCAGCAGGGCCCGUGCAGUGCGCACCUCGCCCGUGUGCAGCCCCACCGUAAAAAGCCCUGGCUCGCUGGCCUUGAGCAGACGGUAGGACAGCCAGGCGUUCUGGCCAGAGUCUCUGUCCACCGCCACCACCUUGGUCACCAGGUAUCCAGGCUCUGCGGAUCGGGGCGCCAGCUCCACGCCUGUGGAACCGUCGGUGGGGAGGGCGGGGUACAGGAUUUCUGGUGCGUUGUCAUUCUGGUCCAGCACGAAUAUACUCAGUGACACGUUGCUGCUGAGGGGUGGGUUCCCAUUGUCCCAUGCAGUCAACCUCAGGUGCAAAUCCUGGAACUGCUCAUAGUCAAAGGAGCGCAAUGCAUACAGGAUGCCAGUGUCAGAGUUGAUGGAGAUGUAAGAGGACAGGGGUGCAUCCUGAAGAGUGUCUUCAGUCAAAGAGUAAGUUACAUGGGCAUUAUCGUCACUGUCAGGGUCAUGGGCCACCACAGAAAUGAUGGAAGCACCCCUGGGAUUGUUUUCAGGAAUGUAGGCAGAGUAGAACGUGUGAGGGAAGGUGGGUGGGUUGUCAUUAAUGUCUGCCACCUGCAGCGUAAUGUAAGCAUCCGUGGACAGAGAUGGUUUUCCUCCAUCUUUAGCAGUCACAGUGACGUUGUAAGAGGAAAACUGUUCCCUGUCAAGGGCUCUGGUUGUAACCAGUCGGUGGUAAUUGUCCACUGAUCUUUCUAACUUGAAAGGAAGGUUCUCUGGGAGUGAACAUGUGAUAAAUGCAUUCUGCCCAGAGUCUCUGUCAUGUACAUUAAAAAGUGCAAUUAUGGUUCCUGGAGGAGAGCCUUCAGGAAUUGAACUGGUAGAAGAUGUCAUAUAAAAUUCUGGAGCAUUGUCAUUCACAUCCAGAACAGUCACAAUAACCUUUGUUCUGGUCCGAAGGCCCGGACCAUCCUGAGCUUCAAUAUCAAUAUCAUGGACUUUGGCAUCUUCAUAAUCUAGACUCUUUAUGAUUGUUAUAUCUCCAGAUGUCGACUCAAGCUCAAAUAUCUCUGAGGUUUCUCCAGGAUUUUUCUCUUGAAUAUAUGCUACUUGGGCAUUGUAUCCCUCAUCUGUGUCAGUGGCGGUGACUGUGAGUAUCCGGGUACCUACGGGAAUACUCUCAGGAACACUUACACGGUACUCAGACUGUGUAAAUAUAGGUGCGUUGUCGUUCACAUCCAGGACAGUCACGUGGAUGCGGGAGGUGCCAGAUCGGACCGGGCUGCCCCCAUCCGAAGCCACAAGGACGAGGUGGUGAACAGCCUUCUCUUCGCGGUCCAGGGCGAGCUCCAGCACCAGCUCAGGGUACUUGUUCCCAUCCACUCCGCUUCGCACAACCAGGGAAAAGUGGUCAUUUGGGUUCAGUUCGUACUUCUGAAGGGUGUUUUCUCCUACGUCUGCAUCGUGCGCACUCUUUAGAGGAAUUCGGAAUCCUGGCGUAGUGGUUUCACUGAUUUUUAGCUCUAGUUCAUCUACUCCAAAGCGAGGGGCAUUAUCGUUAAUAUCUGUUAUUUCCACUUCUACUGAAUAAAUAUUAAAUUUGUCUUCCAGGAGUAUGUUAAAAUUCACCAGGCACUGCGCGCUCUGAGCACAGAGCGCCUCUCGGUCUAUCCUGCCUGCAGUAACCAAACUGCCGCUUCGCGGGUUCAGAGCAAAGAGCUGCGUCCUACCUCUGGAGACGAUGCGGACUCCACGCUCUGCCAGUGUCAGGGGCUCCAGCCCCAGGUCCUUGGCGAUGUCGCCCACGAAGGAGCCUUUGUCAAUCUCUUCUGGCACAGAAUAGUGCAUCUGUCCAGCUCCGGCCUCCCACAAAACCACCAAAAGAAAAUACAGCCGAUGAAGCCUUCCGCGUUGUGAUAACUUUUGCAGAGCCGCCAUUUCUUCUGCUGCAAUCUUUUCUCCCAGGCAACUUCCAGCAUCCAGUUUUAUUCCUCUGUAUUCCUCAGGGUCUGUGGGGAUCAGCAUUCACAGGACCCAGGUCACUGUAGAGAGAAAUUUGGGCUGCUGCAUUUUUUUUUUUUUUCGCCCGGAAGCUUGGGGGCCAAAUACCCAGUCCUUUUGUUGUGGGAGCCGGAAUGUUGGACUAGAUGUGUUGCAGCCUUUUACUUCUUAGGUGGUCAACAGCGACGCUCAGAGGCCUAAGUAAUUUCUGCACCCUCUUAGGCAAACCCAAGUUAUUUCUUGCUUGUUAGCUUUGUGACUUUCAAGUUGCUUUGAAGAAUCUUAGAGUUUUA